rnacentral:misc_RNA from 1 species
GAUGAAGAACGUAGCGAAAUGCGAUACGUAAUGUGAAUUGCAGAAUUCAGUGAAUCAUCGAAUCUUUGAACGCAUAUUGCGCUCUUUGGUAUUCCGAAGAGCAUGCUUGUUUGAGUAUCAGUAAACACCUCAAAGACUUCAAUUUGUUUUGAAUGGCUUUGGACUUGAGAAAUCCCAACACCAGUCUUUACGAUCGGUGGAGGGUUACUUGAAAUGCAGGUGCAGCUGGACAUUCUCCUGAGCUAAAAGCAUAUUUAUUUAGUCCCGUCAAACGGAUUAUUACUUUUGCUGCAGCUAACAUAAAGGGAGUUUGACCGUAUUGGCUGACUGAUGCAGGAUUUCACAAGGGUCGGCAACGAUUCUUGUAAAACUCGAUCUCAAAUCAAGUAAGACUACCCGCUGAACUUAAGCAUAUCAAUAAGCGGAGGA